rfam:Lepisosteus oculatus linkage group LG3, whole genome shotgun sequence.
GCCAGCAUCCAUAUCACUGCAACUCACAACUGGCAACCCACUGAAGCUAAGCAGGUGUGAGCCUGGUCAGUACAUGGAUGGGAGACCUCCUGGGAAAAACUAAGGUUGCUGCUGGAA